AGAGUUUGAUUCUGGCUCAGAACGAACGCUGGCAGCGUGGAUUAGGCAUGCAAGUCGAACGGGAUCCCUUGGGUUCAAUUCUUCGGAAGAGUUUCCUUGGGUGAGAGUGGCGGAAAGGGUGAGUAACGCGUGGGCAAUUUACCUCUAAGUGGGGAACAACCUCGGGAAACCGAGGCUAAUACCGCAUACGGUUAUCUGUCGCAUGGCAGAUGGACCAAAGGUGGGGAUCUUCGGACCUGCCGCUUGGAGAGAAGCCCGCGUACGAUUAGCUUGUUGGCAGGGUAAUGGCCUACCAAGGCUUUGAUCGUUAGCUGUUCUGAGAGGAUGGUCAGCCACACUGGGACUGAGACACUGCCCAGACUCCUACUGGAGGCUGCAGUCGAGGAUCAUUUGCAAUGCGCGAAAGCGUGACAAUGCGACGCUGCGUGGAGGACGAAGGCCCUCGGGUCGUAAACUCCUGUCAUGCGGGAAAAAUUCCCUCGGCAAGAAUAUGGUUGAGGGUUGAUGGUACCGCAAGAGGAAGCCACGGCUAACUCUGUGCCAGCAGCCGCGGUAAUACAGAGGUGGCUAGCGUUGUUCGGAUUUACUGGGCGUAAAGCGUGCGUAGGUGGUUACGUGUGUCGGUUGUGAAAGCCCGGGGCUCAACCCCGGAACUGCAUCCGAAACUGCGAAACUAGAGUCCAGGAGGGGAGAGCGGAAUUCAGGGCGUAGCGGUGAAAUGCGUUGAUAUCCUGAAGAACACCGGUGGCGAAGGCGGCUCUCUGGAAUGGUACUGACACUGAGGCACGAAAGCGUGGGGAGCAAACAGGAUUAGAUGCCCUGGUAGUCCACGCUGUAAACGGUGCGCACUUGGUGUGGGAGGAAUUGACCCCUUCCGUGCCGGAGCUAACGCGUUAAGUGCGCCGCCUGGGGAGUACGGCCGCAAGGUUAAAACUCAAAGAAAUUGACGGGGGCCCGCACAAGCGGAGGAGCAUGUGGCUUAAUUCGAUGCAACGCGAAGAACCUUACCAGGGCUUGACAUGGUACUGCACGACCGGUGAAAGUCGGUUUCCUUAGAGGGUGUACCACAGGUGCUGCAUGGCUGUCGUCAGUUCGUGCCGUGAGGUGUUUGGUUAAGUCCAGCAACGAACGCAACCCCUGUGUCUAGUUGCCACCGACGGUGAUGAGCCGUCGAGCACUCUAGACAGACUGCCCGUACAAGCGGGAGGAAGGUGGGGACGACGUCAAGUCAGUAUGGCCCUUACGCCCUGGGCUGCACACGUGCUACAAUGGUCGGUACAGAUGGAAGCAAUACCGCGAGGUGGAGCAAAUCCGCAAAACCGGCCUCAGUUCGGAUUGGAGUCUGAAACUCGACUCCAUGAAGUUGGAUUCGCUAGUAAUGCCGUAUCAGCUACGACGGCGUGAAUACGUUCCCGGGCCUUGUACACACCGCCCGUCACAUCAUGAAAGCCGUCUGCACCCGAAGUCGUUGAUCUAACCCGCAAGGGAGGAAGGCGCCGAAGGUGUGGGUGGUGAUUGGGAUGAAGUCGAAACAAGGUA
rnacentral:rRNA from 1 species